rnacentral:rRNA from 1 species
UGCAGUCGAACGAUGAAGCCGCUUCGGUGGUGGAUUAGUGGCGAACGGGUGAGUAACACGUGGGCAAUCUGCCCUGCACUCUGGGACAAGCCCUGGAAACGGGGUCUAAUACCGGAUAUGACCUGGUGAGGCAUCUUACCGGGUGGAAAGCUCCGGCGGUGCAGGAUGAGCCCGCGGCCUAUCAGCUUGUUGGUGGGGUGAUGGCCUACCAAGGCGACGACGGGUAGCCGGCCUGAGAGGGCGACCGGCCACACUGGGACUGAGACACGGCCCAGACUCCUACGGGAGGCAGCAGUGGGGAAUAUUGCACAAUGGGCGCAAGCCUGAUGCAGCGACGCCGCGUGAGGGAUGACGGCCUUCGGGUUGUAAACCUCUUUCAGCAGGGAAGAAGCGCAAGUGACGGUACCUGCAGAAGAAGCGCCGGCUAACUACGUGCCAGCAGCCGCGGUAAUACGUAGGGCGCGAGCGUUGUCCGGAAUUAUUGGGCGUAAAGAGCUCGUAGGCGGCUUGUCGCGUCGGAUGUGAAAGCCCGGGGCUUAACCCCGGGUCUGCAUUCGAUACGGGCAGGCUAGAGUUCGGUAGGGGAGAUCGGAAUUCCUGGUGUAGCGGUGAAAUGCGCAGAUAUCAGGAGGAACACCGGUGGCGAAGGCGGAUCUCUGGGCCGAUACUGACGCUGAGGAGCGAAAGCGUGGGGAGCGAACAGGAUUAGAUACCCUGGUAGU